UACAGAGGUCCCAAGCGUUGUUCGGAUUUACUGGGCGUAAAGGGUGCGUAGGCGGCAGGGAAAGUUCGGGGUGAAAUCUCCAGGCUCAACUUGGAAACUGCCCUGAAUACUUCCCUGCUAGAGGGUCGCAGAGGAGAUUGGAAUUCUCGGUGUAGCAGUGAAAUGCGUAGAUAUCGAGAGGAACAUCAGUGGCGAAAGCGAAUCUCUGGGCGGCAUCUGACGCUGAGGCACGAAAGCCAGGGGAGCAAACGGG
rnacentral:rRNA from 1 species